CCUACGGGAGGCAGCAGUAGGGAAUAUUGGACAAUGGGCGAAAGCCUGAUCCAGCAAUGCCGCGUGAGUGAUGAAGGCCUUAGGGUCGUAAAGCUCUUUUACCAGGGAUGAUAAUGACAGUACCUGGAGAAUAAGCUCCGGCUAACCCCGUGCCAGCAGCCGCGGUAAUACGGAGGGAGCUAGCGUUGUUCGGAAUUACUGGGCGUAAAGCGUACGUAGGCGGUUAUUCAAGUCAGAGGUGAAAGCCCGGGGCUCAACCCCGGAACUGCCUUUGAAACUAGGUAGCUAGAAUCUUGGAGAGGUCAGUGGAAUUCCGAGUGUAGAGGUGAAAUUCGUAGAUAUUCGGAAGAACACCAGUGGCGAAGGCGACUGACUGGACAAGUAUUGACGCUGAGGUACGAAAGCGUGGGGGGCGAAACAGGAUUAGAUACCCUGGUAGUCCACGCCGUAAACGAUGAUAACUAGCUGUUCGGGCACUUGGUGCUUGAGUGGCGCAGCUAACGCAUUAAGUUAUCCGCCUGGGGAGUACGGUCGCAGAUUAAAACUCAAAGGAAUUGACGG
rnacentral:rRNA from 1 species